rnacentral:ncRNA from 2 species
UUAAUAAGUAGUGAGUUAGGUGCCUGUAAGGGCUUAAUAGGGAAGACCGGUUAAAUACCGGCGCGGUCCCGCCACUGUAACGGGGAGCAAGCUUAAGAUAUGCCACUGAGACAAUCGUCUUGGGAAGGUUUAAGCAAGCCAUGAACCGGAGCCAGGAGAACUGCCUAGCUGGACAAUCACCG